GACGAACGCUGGCGGCGUGCUUAACACAUGCGAGUCGAACGGAAAGGCUCCAGCUUGCUGGAGUACUCGAGUGGCGAACGGGUGAGUAACACGUGGGUAAUCUGCCCUGCACUCUGGGAUAAGCCUGGGAAACUGGGUCUAAUACUGGAUAUGACCUUUCUCCUUAUGGGGUUUGGUGGAAAGUUUUUCGGUGUGGGAUGAGCCCGCGGCCUAUCAGCUUGUUGGUGGGGUGAUGGCCUACCAAGGCGACGACGGGUAGCCGGCCUGAGAGGGUGAUCGGCCACAUUGGGACUGAGAUACGGCCCAGACUCCUACGGGAGGCAGCAGUGGGGAAUAUUGCACAAUGGGCGGAAGCCUGAUGCAGCGACGCCGCGUGAGGGAUGACGGCCUUCGGGUUGUAAACCUCUUUCAGCAGGGACGAAGCGUAAGUGACGGUACCUGCAGAAGAAGCACCGGCUAACUAUGUG
rnacentral:rRNA from 1 species